rnacentral:rRNA from 1 species
UACGUAGGGUGCAAGCGUUAAUCGGAAUUACUGGGCGUAAAGCGUGCGCAGGCGGUUUUGUAAGUUUGUCGUGAAAUCCCCGGGCUCAACCUGGGAAUGGCGAUGAAGACUGCAAGGCUAGAAUCUGGCAGAGGGGGGUGGAAUUCCGCGUGUAGCAGUGAAAUGCGUAGAGAUGCGGAGGAACACCGAUGGCGAAGGCAGCCCCCCUGGGCCGACAUUGACGCUCAGGCACGAAAGCGUGGGGAGCAAACAGG